UACGUAGGGUGCGAGCGUUGUCCGGAAUUAUUGGGCGUAAAGAGCUCGUAGGCGGCUUGUCGCGUCGGAUGUGAAAGCCCGGGGCUUAACUCCGGGUCUGCAUUCGAUACGGGCAGGCUAGAGCUCGGUAGGGGAGAUCGGAAUUCCUGGUGUAGCGGUGAAAUGCGCAGAUAUCAGGAGGAACACCGGUGGCGAAGGCGGAUCUCUGGGCCGUAACUGACGCUGAGGAGCGAAAGCAUGGGUAGCGAACAGG
rnacentral:rRNA from 1 species